rnacentral:rRNA from 1 species
CCGACGGUGAGGGAUGAAGGCUGGGGGCGCAAACCGGAUUAGAUAGCCGGGUAGUCCCAGCAGUAAACGAUGCCAGCUAUGUGUUGCUGGAACCAUGGGUUCCAGCAGUGCCGAAGGGAAGCCGUGAGGCUGGCCACCUGGGAAGUACGGUCGCAAGGCUGAAACUUAAAGGAAUUGGCGGGGGAGUACCACAACCGGUGGAGCCUGCGGUUUAAUUGGAUACAACGCCGGGAAUCUUACCGGAGGGGACAGCAGUAUGAAGGCCAGGCUAAAGACCUUGCCAGAUCAGCUGAGAGGAGGUGCAUGGCCGUCGCCAGUUCGUACCGUGAGGCAUCCUGUUUAGUCAGGCAACGAUCGAGACCCGCAGUCUUAUUUGCCAGCAUGCCCUUUGGGGUGUAUGGGUACAAUAAGACGACCGCCAGCGCUAAGCUGGAGGAAGGAGCGGGCUACGGUAGGUCAGCAUGCCCCGAAUCCUCCGGGAUACACGCGGGCUACAAUGGUCAGGACAAAAGGUACCGACCUCGAAAGAGUGAGGU